CACGGAAUCUCUAUUUCUCUCACAACAUAUAUGUACUCUCCCUCUCACUUCCAUUUCGGCGUUGCAGAGAAAAUGAAGAAACCUUUAUCAUCAUCGCCCAUUGAAGUACUUGUCGGGACUUGGUCACAAGUUCGCCAGUGAGGAGUGGCUUCGGCAUAGUGGUUGAAGACGUGAUCGACAACUAUUUUCAGCGUUGUUAAAGGUACUAGAAACCGUUUUUGGGCUCAGGGUUUUGUUUCCUAUUGAUUUAUUAUAAUUCGGUACAUGAAAGUUAAUUAAAAAUUUUGUGUUUUUUAUUAUUAAAGGAGUCUACUGUCUGUCUAUUAAUGUUUUUGUUCAUUGUUCAUGUUUAUUUUUUGUUUUGGAGUUUGGUUAUGGUUUUUGCAUUU